GAGUAUGUUCUUGAGGAACAUCAGGAGGAGGCACAGCCUGCAAAGGACACAGGAGCUCCACCUCCCUGACACAAAGCCCACCGAGCUCUGCAGCAGCGAGUGCCUCUCCCAGCACGGGCACUUUCCCUCCUAGCACCAGCCCAUCUCCUCCUCCACCAACUGUCAGGCACCUUCUGCAUUUUUUAGAAAGAGAAGAGCUACUACAGAUGGCAUUUACUUUCACCUCCUUGGGUAACACUCAGGAUUAUUUGCAGGCCUCUUUUCUUAGGAAGAGUCACCCUUACUGCCCUACGGAGAAAGACCCCAACAGACACCCCUGAAACACACCAGCAACACACGACGUGGCAACAACCUGCAGGAAAAACAGCGAAUGGAACUACAAACAUCCCACCCACCCCACUGUCACCCAACGUGGGGCGGCCAGGGCAAGGCACCGCUGACCCAGCUUAGAACCUCUCCGUAGGCACAGCUCCCUCAAGGCAAAGUUAAAACUAAACGUGGCCUUGCGAUA